rnacentral:rRNA from 1 species
AAAUCAAUUACACCAGAGCGUUUCCGAUGGCGAAUCCACUUUGAAUUUGAUAAAUGUAUUGCUUGUGAAGUAUGUGUUCGUGUAUGUCCGAUAGAUUUACCCGUUGUGGAUUGGAGAUUUGAAAAGGAUAUUAAAAGAAAACAAUUGCUUAAUUAUAGUAUUGAUUUCGGAGUUUGUAUAUUUGAUCUUGACAAAGAUCUGCAUGCUACCACAGACUCCAUGAUGAUGGCCUUGACAAAGAUCUGCAUGCUAUCACGGACUCCAUGGUGA